ACGAACGCUGGCGGCGUGCUUAACCCCUGCAAGUCGCACGGAAAGGCCCUGCUUUUGUGGGGUGCUCGAGUGGCGAACGGGUGAGUAACACGUGAGUAACCUGCCCUUGACUUUGGGAUAACUUCAGGAAACUGGGGCUAAUACCGGAUAGGAGCUCCUGCUGCAUGGUGGGGGUUGGAAAGUUUCGGCGGUUGGGGAUGGACUCGCGGCUUAUCAGCUUGUUGGUGGGGUAGUGGCUUACCAAGGCUUUGACGGGUAGCCUGCCUGAGAGGGUGACCGGCCACAUUGGGACUGAGAUACGGCCCAGACUCCUACGGGAGGCAGCAGUGGGGAAUAUUGCACAAUGGGCGGAAGCCUGAUGCAGCAACGCCGCGUGCGGGAUGACGGCCUUCGGGUUGUAAACCGCUUUCGCCUGUGACGAAGCGUGAGUGACGGUAAUGGGUAAAGAAGCACCGGCUAACUACGUG
rnacentral:rRNA from 1 species